rnacentral:rRNA from 1 species
AGAGUUUGAUCCUGGCUCAGGAUGAACGCUGGCGGCGUGCUUAACACAUGCAAGUCGAACGGACAUAGAGGGGCUUGCUCCUCUAUGUUAGUGGCGGACGGGUGAGUAACGCGUGAGCAACCUGCCCAUAUCAGGGGAAUAACACAGUGAAAAUUGUGCUAAUACCGCAUAAGACCACGAAGCGGCAUCGCUUUGCGGUAAAAGAUUUAUCGGAUAUGGAUGGGCUCGCGUCCCAUUAGAUAGUUGGCGGGGUAACGGCCCACCAAGUCGACGAUGGGUAGCCGACCUGAGAGGGUGAUCGGCCACAUUGGAACUGAGAAACGGUCCAGACUCCUACGGGAGGCAGCAGUGGGGAAUAUUGGGCAAUGGAGGCAACUCUGACCCAGCAACGCCGCGUGAAUGAUGAAGGUCUUCGGAUUGUAAAGUUCUGUGACGGUGGACGAACACAAUGACGGUACCCCGAUAGCAAGCCACGGCUAACUACGUGCCAGCAGCCGCGGUAAUACGUAGGUGGCAAGCGUUAUCCGCGG